rnacentral:rRNA from 1 species
GUCGGCAACGACCACCCAGGGCCGGAAAGUUGGUCAAACCCGGUCAUUUAGAGGAAGUAAAAGUCGUAACAAGGUCUCCGUAGGUGAACCUGCGGAGGGAUCAUU